rnacentral:rRNA from 1 species
AGUCUGCCCGGUGACUGGANGUUUAACGGCCGCGAAAGUGCUAAGGUAGCAUAAUAAUUUGUCUUUUCAUUGGAGAAUAGUAUGAAUGGACGAACGAAGCUCAGCUGUCUCCUGACUAUGCAUAUAAAUUGAUUUUCAAGUGAAAAAUCUUGGAUUAUUAAGUAGGACGAGAAGACCCUGUAGAGUUUUAGUAUAUAAUUUUUUUUAUAAAUUAGUACUUUUAUUGGGGCAAUAGAAGAACCAUAAAAUUCUUUUUAUAUUGUGUUGCGUUAGCAACUAUUUUUAUCCUUAAAAAGAAUUUAGAAAAAUUACCUCAGGGAUAACAGCGUAAUCCUCCCAGAGAGAUCUAAUCGAAGGGAGGGUUUGCGACCUCGAUGUUGGACUAAAAGUACUGCCAGGUGUAGGAGUCUGGUUAGUGAGCCUGUUCGGCUUUUAAAUUUUUACAUGAUCUGAGU